ACAAGAUCUUAAAUAGCAAAAAAAUAUCCCAACAUAAACAACUUAAGCUACCAUAAAAUAUAGUAGCAAAGCCUCUUCAUCAAAAAAUGCUCCUCCAAUAUUUGCAUCUCUUGAGCUAGUUGACCCAGAAGCUAGAUUUAGAAUGCCCUUUUCAGAUGAACUAAUCAAUGAACUCAAUACUAAGAUGUCAUCCUCAAAAAUCAAAGAUUCCAUAAACUAUUUAUCUAAAGAAAAUUCUGAAA
rnacentral:lncRNA from 1 species